AGGGAAUACAUUUAAAAAAAUAUUUAGAAGAAUCAAAAUUUUUAAAAUUGUCUAGAGAACAGGCCAGCUGCUUAGAAGUUCCUAUAGAUAAUUUAGAAGUUAAGACAAUUGGAGCAUUGAGACUACGCAAAAAAAAAAAAAAAACUUGCUGACACUCUAUCCCAUAUAUGAAAGAUGCUUUUAAUGAAGUCAGCGAUUUCGGAUCCUUUCCAACUGAAAU